CCUGCGGAGGGAUCAUUACCGAGUUUACAACUCCCAAACCCCUGUGAACAUACCACUUGUUGCCUCGGCGGAUCAGCCCGCUCCCGGUAAAACGGGACGGCCCGCCAGAGGACCCCUAAACUCUGUUUCUAUAUGUAACUUCUGAGUAAAACCAUAAAUAAAUCAAAACUUUCAACAACGGAUCUCUUGGUUCUGGCAUCGAUGAAGAACGCAGCAAAAUGCGAUAAGUAAUGUGAAUUGCAGAAUUCAGUGAAUCAUCGAAUCUUUGAACGCACAUUGCGCCCGCCAGUAUUCUGGCGGGCAUGCCUGUUCGAGCGUCAUUUCAACCCUCAAGCACAGCUUGGUGUUGGGACUCGCGUUAAUUCGCGUUCCUCAAAUUGAUUGGCGGUCACGUCGAGCUUCCAUAGCGUAGUAGUAAAACCCUCGUUACUGGUAAUCGUCGCGGCCACGCCGUUAAACCCCAACUUCUGAAUGUUGACCUCGGAUCAGGUAGGAAUACCCGCUGAACUUAAGCAUAU
rnacentral:rRNA from 1 species